CAUUGCUGGAACGCGCCCCAGGCGCACCCAGAAACCCUUUGUGAACUUAUACCUUACUGUUGCCUCGGCGCACGCCGGCGGCCAAGUUAACUCUUGUUUUUACACUGAAACUCUGAGAAAAAAACAAAAUGAAUCAAAACUUUCAACAACGGAUCUCUUGGUUCUGGCAUCGAUGAAGAACGCAGCGAAAUGCGAUAAGUAAUGUGAAUUGCAGAAUUCAGUGAAUCAUCGAAUCUUUGAACGCACAUUGCGCCCUCCGGUAUUCCGGAGGGCAUGCCUGUUCGAGCGUCAUUUCAACCCUCAAGCACUGCUUGGUGUUGGGGCACUGCCUUUUUCCGGAAGGCAGGCCCUGAAAUUCAGUGGCGAGCUCGCCAGGACCCCGAGCGCAGUAGUUAAACCCUCGCUUUGGAAGGCCCUGGCGGUGCCCUGCCGUUAAACCCCCAACUCUUGAAAAUUUGACCUCGGAUCAGGUAGGAAUACCCGCUGAACUUAAGCAUAUCAAUA
rnacentral:rRNA from 1 species